GAUGAACGCUGGCGGCGUGCCUAACACAUGCAAGUCGAACGGACAGACGUGGUCCUUUCUUCUCGAACGGUGGACGCGGGCGGGUUACUAACGAGUGGGUAAGCUACCUAUAGGACUCGGAUCGCAACCGGAACUCGGAGCUCAUACCGGAUAAGAUAUUGAACCGCAGGGUGCAAGACUUUGAGACGGUUUUGCUGUCACUGAUAGAUGAGGCCGCGGCGGAUUAGCUAGUUGGUAAGGUAACGGCUUACCAAGGCAACGAUGCGUAGCCGACCUGAGAGGGUGACCGGCCACACUGGAACUGAGACACGGCCCAGACUCCUACGGGAGGCAGCAGUAGGGAAUCUUCCGCAAUGGGCGAAAGCCUGAUCGAGUCACGCCGCGUGCAUGAUGAAGGUCUUCGGAUCGUAAACUUCUGUUAUUCGGGACGAACAGAUGUGUAAGUAACUAUGCACGUCUUGACGGUACCGAAACAGAAAGCCCCGGCUAACUACGUG
rnacentral:rRNA from 1 species